rnacentral:ncRNA from 1 species
AGCAUUCGCACGAGAACUGAAAGCCCCCCUGGGUUAGGCAGAAUAACUGGCUUGUGACAGCCAAGAGUUCAUAGUGACGUUGCUUUUUGAUCUUUUGAUGUCGGCAUUUCCUAUCAUAUUGAAGCAGAUUUCAGUACGCGUUGGAUUGAGAACCCAUUAACACGGAACAAGACCUAAGAAGGUUUAGACCGUCGUGAGAUAGGCAAAUUUUAUCCUACCGAUGAAACGUUGUUGCAAUAGUAGUUGAACUUGGUCUGAGAGGAACCGUCCAUUCAGAUAAUUGGUAUUUGGGCGUGCCUGAGUAGGCAAUAGACCGACGCAAUCAUCUGUCAGACUAUGGACUGAACGCCUCUAUAUCAGGACCCGUGCUAGAACGCGACGAUUACCGCCUUUUCCGAUUUUAGUUGAAUACGAAUAGAUCUUCGGAUUCUGAUUCAAACCACAAGAGAUUGAUCUUGAAAAGUAGAAAGGCUUUAUAUAAUAAUGCUCCUACUAAUGUUAAUUUCAAAUAUCGGAAGAGAUAAAGCCAUUGCAGAAGACUUUACUUGAAUGCGGUAUUGUAUUAUGCCUUU